rnacentral:rRNA from 1 species
GACGAACGCUGGCGGCGUGCUUAACACAUGCAAGUCGAACGGAGCGAAUGAAAGCUUGCUUUUAUGAGCUUAGUGGCAAACGGGUGAGUAACACGUAGACAACCUGCCGACAGGAUGGGGACAACAUUCCGAAAGGAAUGCUAAUACCGAAUGAAGCGGAGGAGAGGCAUCUCUCUUCCGUGAAAGAUGGCCUCUUUUUAUGCUAUCACCUGUUGAUGGGUCUGCGUCUGAUUAGCUGGUUGGUGAGGUAACGGCUCACCAAGGCGACGAUCAGUAGCCGGUCUGAGAGGAUGAACGGCCACAUUGGGACUGAGACACGGCCCAGACUCCUACGGGAGGCAGCAGUGGGGAAUCUUCCGCAAUGGGCGCAAGCCUGACGGAGCAACGCCGCGUGAGUGAAGAAGGUCUUCGGAUCGUAAAGCUCUGUUGACGGGGACGAACGUGCGGAGUGCGAAUAGCGCUUUGU